CUUUGUGCAUAUGGUGGCUAUGGCGUGACACUGGAACAACUUCAAUGCUUAGUAGGGGAGAGCUUCAUUGAUAUUCCGGUGAUUUCCAUGUUUUGCCGAUACAUGAAUGCAAAAGAAGAGAAUCCUUGUCGCAGACACUUUUUUAAUCCAUACUUUGGGAUGUCAUACUGGGAUGUAUGCUAUUCUCUAUAUGCAACAUUGGGAUGGAAGUGGUCUUAAUAGAACCAUUAAUUCUGAACACAUGAGCCUUGAAAGAUUGAAAUUUGCAACUCAUAUGGUUCUUGAUAGCGAAAACGAAAUUGGUGAAAU